UACGUAGGGGGCAAGCGUUGUCCGGAAUCAUUGGGCGUAAAGCGCGCGUAGGCGGCUAGAUCAGUCUGCUGUAAAAGUCAAAGGCUCAACCUUUGAAAGCCGGUGGAUACUGUCUAGCUAGAGUCCGGAAGAGGCGAGUGGAAUUCCUGGUGUAGCGGUGGAAUGCGUAGAUAUCUGGAGGAACACCGGUGGCGAAGGCGGCAUCCUGGACCGACACUGACGCUGAGGAGCGAAAGCCAGGGGAGCAAACGGG
rnacentral:rRNA from 1 species